rnacentral:ribozyme from 1 species
AUUGCUCAAAUAUGCUACCUCUCCGUGGUGGGCGGCAGGCAACGGGAUUCUCUCUCGGCUAAAGCAUAU